UAGAGUUUGAUCAUGGCUCAGGAUGAACGCUAGCGGCGUGCCUAAUACAUGCAAGUCGAACGGGGAGGUUUGUAGCAAUACGGACCUCCUAGUGGCGAACGGGUGAGUAACGCGUUGGUGACCUGCCCCGAAGAGGGGGAUAACAGCUCGAAAGGGCUGCUAAUACCCCAUGUGGUCAACGAGGUUAGAGGCUGGUUGACUAAAGGAGCAAUCCGCUUCGGGAGGGGCCUGCGUCCCAUCAGCUAGUUGGUAGGGUAACGGCCUACCAAGGCGACGACGGGUAGGGGGCCUGAGAGGGUGACCCCCCACAAUGGCACUGAAACACGGGCCAUACACCUACGGGUGGCAGCAGUAGGGAAUAUUGCACAAUGGGCGAAAGCCUGAUGCAGCAACGCCGCGUGCGCGAUGAAGGCCUUCGGGUUGUAAAGCGCUUUUCGGGGAGAUGAGGAAGGACAGUAUCCCCGGAAUAAGUCUCGGCUAACUACGUGCCAGCCGCCGCGGUAAUUCA
rnacentral:rRNA from 1 species